GUCAAUGAGUCGUUUGUACUAGCUGCAUAAGCUGCUCAAGUGUAUUAUACUCUUUUUCCAUCAAAAAAAGAAGAAAGAAAGAUUGGUGGGCUAUAUGCAAAAUUAAGUCUCGAGUUGUUCAUUAUACACUCAAAGAAGAAGAAGAGUCUCAAUUACCAGAAUGCUUUCAAGAGGAUGAGAUAGUAGGAGUUCAUCAAUCCUUUGAUGAUGUGGAAUUGGAUGCUCCAAAAAUUCUCCUAUGUGAAGAUGGCCAGCAUGAGGAGGUAGAUCCAACUGACAUUGUUUUAAAGGAUAAUCCUCCUUAAGAAGGGGAAGAAGAGGAAGAAGAAGAGGAAG
rnacentral:lncRNA from 1 species